AAGUACAAACUGUCUAUAAAAUUUGUAUCCAAGGCCAAAUUAGCCAGAACUAAUUCCAAAUCCGAGAGUCCAGAAUCAUAAGUGGCCCUACUACUGGCAAACAUCCUCCACUCACACCUGGGGCUUCAGAUGUUUCCAGAUCCUUUGGUGGGUAACCUACUUGCAGGCCCAAGCCCAGAGGCUUGGGGUUCGGAUGUCCCAAAGUUUUGCUUGCCCUUAGCCAUAAGGCCAUCGGAGCAAGCAAGGGAGGAGCCAGUAUCUUCCAAUUUCCUCUUGCAAAAAGGUUCUCCACUCCCCUGAAUAUCCUAGUAUUCCCUUCUCUGCACCUGCCCCAGUUUGGCUACAUCCCUUUUCAAUGUAGGUGACCAAAAGAUGGUUUCCCUUACUAUGGGUCUUACCAUUCUCUUUAAUGUUGGCUACAGGUUCCUUAAUGGGGUGUAUCAAUGGUCUACCAGAGACAGCAAAUUUCUGCUGUUUCUAGUCCCA